rnacentral:rRNA from 1 species
GAUGAACGCUGGCGGCGUGCCUAACAACAUGCAAGUCGAGCGAUCUACUUCGGUAAAGAGCGGCGGACGGGUGAGUAACGCGUGGGUAACCUGCCCUGUACACACGGAUAACAUACCGAAAGGUAUGCUAAUACGAGAUAAUAUGCUUUUAUCGCAUGGUAGAAGUAUCAAAGCUUUUGCGGUACAGGAUGGACCCGCGUCUGAUUAGCUAGUUGGUAAGGUAACGGCUUACCAAGGCGACGAUCAGUAGCCGACCUGAGAGGGUGAUCGGCCACAUUGGAACUGAGACACGGUCCAAACUCCUACGGGAGGCAGCAGUGGGGAAUAUUGCACAAUGGGCGAAAGCCUGAUGCAGCAACGCCGCGUGAGCGAUGAAGGCCUUCGGGUCGUAAAGCUCUGUCCUCAAAGAAGAUAAUGACGGUACUUGAGGAGGAAACCCCGGCUAACUACGUGCCAGCAGCCGCGGUAAUACGUAGGGGGCUAGCGUUAUCCGGAAUUACUGGGCUAAAGGGUGCGUAGGUGGUUUCUUAAGUCAGAGGUGAAAGGUACGGUCAACCGUAGAAGCCUUUGAAACUGGGAAACUUGAGUGCAGGAGAGGAGAGUGGAAUUCCUAGUGUAGCGGUGAAAUGCGUAGAUAUUAGGAGGAACAC